CUGGCUCGUAUCUGACCAGUGAGAAUGGAUGAGUAGAUUAUGUUAAAGUAAAAAUGGAGCAGUCAAGUCAGUGAUGCGACGCUAUUUGUUAAAAACAUUAAGGAUGGUUGGCUCAACGGGCAAGUACAAGGACAUUUAAUAGGGACUCCUGAAAAGCAGAGUAAGUGAAAACAGGAAAAAUUUUUGCUCAAACAUAUAAUGGAAAAAAAAAAAAAAACAAAAAAACAAAACCUGUCGUGCUUAUUCAGGAAUAAAGCACACAAAGGUUUUGAGCAUCGUAUGAAUAACUUGAUAAUUUGAUAAUUGUAGUUUACAGGGCAAAUGUGUGAUACCGGAAUAUGAAAAUAUUUUGCUAAGCCCUAUUAUUGGCCCAUUAUCCUGGUCCAACUUUACUAGAAUUCUGUGCUCUUUGACCAAGGGAAAAUCUAGAAUGUAAAGUGGGUUUAAGAUAAAAAUCACUUGAGAAAAUUAAGACUUUGAGGAUAUCCCAGAGAAUGCUCGUAGUUAUUUCAAAACAUUUGUUCACCAUAAGGCCGGUGAGCAAAUUCUGACAACCCAGAUUAGGUCAAGUUUCGCAGGCAAAGUCUCCAGAGACUGCCCACACUUCUGACACCAGCGGCCAGCUCUGAGGAUCCUAGGCCACUUGUACUUGUUACCAAGAGGGUAUACAUUUGGCAGUCCCCACUAUCCCCUCAGGUUCAGGUUCUAAGGUGCACCAGAAAAAUUCACAGAACUCAACAAAGUGCUAUAGUUCCCAUUUGUUUUGUUACAACGUUUAGGAAUCAGGGCCAGACACAAGAAACCCCCUGGGCAAGGUCUGGGUGCGUUACAGACACUAAGCUUCCAUGUCCUCAGGACACAUCAGCCUCCGGGCACAUCAUUGUGUAUCCCCAACCCCAGAAGCUCUCCGGAGCCUUCCUGUGGUUUUUUUUAAGCCUACAGAGCCCUGAUUGACUGAAUCACUGACUACAUGAGUCUUUGCUCUUCUCUGGAGGUUGGGCUGAUACGAUGAGGCUCAAAACCCCAACUCCUUGGUCAGUCACAGGGGUAGUCACUCUGGCUUGGUCAGCCCCUACUUUGGAACCAUCUAGGGACCCACCGGGAAUAUCACAGACAUGCCCAUCACUUGGAAAUCCCAAAGAUGAAAAACUCCUUCCAGAAACCAAGGAAAAAGGCCAGCUCAAUUCUUCAGUCUAUAUGUGGGCCUUACCAAGGACUCUGUUGAGGCUUACCUCUAGGUCAAAUCUAGAGUGAUCCAUAGGAGAUGGCCGGAUUCUUCUAUUAUUUCGUUGUUGCACUGAUUAUACCAAAAAAGUGGACAGAAAAUGGCAGAACUCAGAACACAGGUUAUCCAGUAAUUUUUUUGCCUAAUGGUAUUCUUUAUCACAGGUCUUUUAUGACACAGAUAUUUACUGAGCACCUACUAUGUGAUGGGCACCUUGUGUGGAUACUGCCGCAGAAAUGCUUUGUCUACAUACUGCUGAAAACAAAUACAUCCAUCUGCAUUUAACUAAUGUUCCAAUCGGUCCUUAAUGUUUUACAAACUUUUCACUAAAAAUAUUUCAUCAUUUAUUAUGUUACUUUGGGUUACUUUUAUGCCCAUAGGGGAGUAUAGUCCUCAACCUCUGUAUCUGCAAAACCGUGGACAUAAUCACACCUACUUAGAAGGGCAAACAGUUGGUUAAGAGCCUGACUCUGGGACUAGGUUGCCUGACAGCUCCGGUUCUUUCUAGCCAUGUCAGGUUAGGAAUGUCACCUAAUCCCACCUGCCACAGCUUUCUCAUCCGUAAAAUGGUAAUACUUGCCCUCAUAGAGAUGUUGUGAGGAUUAAAUAAAUUAUUGAGUAUUUCACUUAUAAUAGUGCCUGGCACCUAACAAGCACAUUUCAGUGAUUUUAGCAAUUAUUAUUUUAAUUCCCUUAUUAAUUAUAUUUAUUAGUUAUAUUUGGGUUGUUGUGUUCAUAUCGGAUAAUAUUUAUGAAUGCUAUUAUAAAACU
rnacentral:lncRNA from 1 species